rnacentral:rRNA from 1 species
GAUCCUGGCUCAGGAUGAACGCUGGCGGCAGGCUUAACACAUGCAAGUCGAACGGUAACAUAAAGAAGCUUGCUUCUUUGAUGACGAGUGGCGGACGGGUGAGUAAUGCUUGGGAAUCUAGCUUAUGGAGGGGGAUAACUACGGGAAACUGUAGCUAAUACCGCGUAAUAUCGAAAGAUUAAAGUGUGGGACCUUCGGGCCACAUGCCAUAGGAUGAGCCCAAGUGGGAUUAGGUAGUUGGUGAGGG